rnacentral:rRNA from 1 species
UACGGAGGGUGCAAGCGUUGUCCGGAUUUAUUGGGUUUAAAGGGUGCGUAGGCGGCUCUUUAAGUCAGUGGUGAAAUCCUGCAGCUUAACUGUAGAAUUGCCAUUGAUACUGAAGAGCUUGAGUACAGACGAGGUAGGCGGAAUUUAUGGUGUAGCGGUGAAAUGCAUAGAUACCAUAAAGAACCCCUAUUGCGAAGGCAGCUUACUAGGCUGUAACUGACGCUGAGGCCCGCAAGCGUGGGGAUCAAACAGG